rnacentral:tRNA from 1 species
GAAAUAAGUUAAUCAAGAAUAAGCUUCUAACUUAAUUCUUAAGCAGUGAGAUUCUGUUUUUAUUUCU